rnacentral:misc_RNA from 1 species
CCAAUAGCGUAUAUUAAAGUUGUUGCAGUUAAAAAGCUCGUAGUUGAAUUUCGGGAUUGGCGCAUCGGUCGUGCCUCACGGGGUAUGAACUGGUGCAGUCAAUUUCUCACCUUCUGGAGAACCGCGAUGUCCUUAAUUGGAUGCCGCGGGGAACAAGGACCUUUACUUUGAAAAAAUUAGAGUGUUUAAAGCAGGCAUUUUUGCUUGAAUACAUUAGCACGGCAUAAUAAAAUAGGACGGCAUGGUUUUAUUUUGUUGGUUUCUAGGACCACCGUAAUGAUUAAUAGGGAUAGUUGGGGGCAUUAGUAUUCAAUUGUCAGAGGUGAAAUUCUUGGAUUUAUUGAAGACUAACUACUGCGAAAGCAUUUGCCAAGGAUGUUUUCAUUAAUCAAGAACGAAAGUUAGGGGAUCGAAGACGAUCAGAUACCGUUGUAGUCUUAACCAUAAACUAUGCCGACUAGGAAUCAGACGAUGUUAAUUUUUUAAUGACUCGUUUGGCACCUUACG